UCUGAUGGCUUGUGUGAGGUUCCUCCCUUC
rnacentral:piRNA from 1 species